GUGCUGGCUUCAGCAGCUCAUACACUAAAAUUGGAACGAUACAGAGAAGAUUAGCAUGGCCCCUGAGCCAGGAUGACAUGCAGAUUCUUGAAACAUUCUGUAUUAAA
ensembl:snRNA U6 U6 spliceosomal RNA